rnacentral:rRNA from 1 species
CAGCAGCCGCGGGAAUACAGAGGGUGCAAGCGUUGUUCGGAAUUAUUGGGCGUAAAGCGCGUGUAGGCGGCGUGACAAGUCGGGUGUGAAAGCCCUCAGCUCAACUGAGGAAGUGCGCCCGAAACUGUCGUGCUUGAGUGCCGGAGAGGGUGGCGGAAUUCCCCAAGUAGAGGUGAAAUUCGUAGAUAUGGGGGGGAACACCGGUGGCGAAGGCGGCCACCUGGACGGUAACUGACGCUGAGACGCGAAAGCGUGGGGAGCAAACAGGAUUAGAUACCCCCGUAGUCCCUGUCUCUUAUAC